UGGGGAAUCUUGCGCAAUGGGCGAAAGCCUGACCCAGCAACGCCGCGUGAAGGAUGAAGUAUUUCGGUAUGUAAACUUCGAAAGAAUAGGAAGAAUAAAUGACGGUACUAUUUAUAAGGUCCGGCUAACUACGUGCCAGCAGCCGCGGUAAUACGUAGGGACCAAGCGUUGUUCGGAUUUACUGGGCGUAAAGGGCGCGUAGGCGGCAUGACAAGUCACUUGUGAAAUCUCUGGGCUUAACCCAGAACGGCCAAGUGAUACUGUCGCGCUAGAGUGCAGAAGGGGCAAUCGGAAUUCUUGGUGUAGCGGUGAAAUGCGUAGAUAUCAAGAGGAACACCUGAGGUGAAGACGGGUUGCUGGGCUGACACUGACGCUGAGGCGCGAAAGUCAGGGGAGCAAACGGGAUUAGAUACCCUGGUAGUCCCUGAGCGGGCUGGCAAGGCGCAU
rnacentral:rRNA from 1 species